rnacentral:lncRNA from 1 species
GAGGGGAAGUUGGUGACCAAUUGUUCCCUGGGUCUGGGUUAUUGUGAGGUCAUAUAAUGUCAGUGGUAGUGGUCAGGGUCAUGAGGCAGUUGGCUUCCUUUCAUGUUUCCUUGCCUGCCACAUCCAUAGGGAAAGAACGGGACUACCUAGAAUUACUGGCAUCUUGCUUUUCUGGAGACUGUACCUCCAAGUCGCAGGGAUUAGCACUGCUGUUAUUAUUUAUGAGAACAAUAUCUUCAGUGUGUGCAGGUUCCGUUCACUGAAGAAAAUAUUAGCCUCAUUUUGUGGAGGAAGAAACUGAUCUUGGCGAUGGGCAGUAACACUAAGUAAGGUGACCGGGCACCCCUCGAUCCCAGGCUGUCUGGCACUGCACAGGCUCAGCUGCUGCAUGUUAGCAGGGAAAAGUACAGUAAGGUAGGGGAUCAGGGAGGCUGCCCUGGGCGUUAGCAAAUGCCACAAGGGAGCAAGGGCUCCACCACCUAAGGGCCAUGGCCUUCCUACAGACACGCUACUGAUUAGGCUAAUCAUUACCCUUUAUUCUAAACAAAUUGCACGGUCUAUGCUUGGCGUAUAAGGACAUCAGGAAUACAGACACACGCAGUGGGCUGGGGAGCUGCUCCGAGGGGCAGGCCAUGGAGGGCGUCACUGAGCUGCUAAUAUUUAAGCUGAGCUCUGAAGGACGAGAAGGAGAGGAAGGAAAGAGUGGUAGGAAUAGGGACAGCCCGUAUGAAAACCUUGAGGCAGAAGGCACUGGCACGUUCAUGAACACGGGAAAGGCCAAUGUGGCCGGAGUGGGAAGCGGGGGGCAGUGAGCAGCAGGUCACACUGACAAAGCGCCCACUGGUCCAGGCGCUCUUGGGGGCGCUCUGUGUAUGUUCACUCAUCCAGUCUUCGUGUCCCCCACCCCCCAGGAGGCACCCCAUAGCUCAGAUACGCCGGACACAGUGAUACGCACACCUUCCUCAGCUUUCCGGCUGCCUGCGGCAUCGAGCACAAACCUUUAGCUCGGCAUCUCAGAUGCUUGGAGAAAGAGUUCCAACAGAACUUACUUGCUGUAUUUCCUUUUUAAAUUUUGCUGCGCCUUAGAAUUAACUUUUACUUACAUAAGUAAUACACAAUUAUGUUUUCAUUGUAGGAACUUAAUACAGGUAAAGUUAAAGUCCUUUCUU